CGCGAGGGCCGGACAACCUGCCACUCACAUGACAUCACAGCAAUAGCAACGACCAUCCAAUCAAUUCCCAAAGGACAAAAUCAAUUUUUAUUCCAAGUAUAUUUAGUAUAUUUCACAGUUUCCAAAUAUAUAUAUAUAUAUACAUCAAAUUAACGUUUCUGUGAAGUAUGUGUGUUAUCAGGGACUAAAUGUCUAAAUACACGCGAGCGAGCGAACAAGUCACGUCGUAGUAACGUUAUGGUAACGUUGCGUUUAGCAUCUGAUGUCGACGACUGAAAGGUACUGUGCCAGAUUGGGUGUGUCCUAUGAUGGAGUGAGCCAGCUGUGUUUAUGAGUCCACCACACAUCAGAAUCUCGCCACAUUCUCUUGGCUGUCCAGUUUCGCAGUGUCAUGACUGGCAAUGAGGUACUGAGGGAAGUGGAACUGGAUCCACAAAGUAGGCUACACUUCAAUAAAAACAGACAUGUGUGGCAACAGUGAGAUGCAUGGACCACCAGUACAUAUUGAAAAAACAUCAACUAAGAUUGAUGGUUGUGGUGACACGCUGAUUAGUAUUACUAUAUUCCCAUAUAUUGAAGUACACUGAAAACUUGUCAAUGAAACACUUAGAGUAAAUACUACCACUAGUAUUCCAUCACAUGUGUAGCUAGUAGUUCUUUGCUUUGAUUGCCAAGACUGGAGACAAAUUCUGCUAUAUUUAAUCAUAGCUGGCUAUAAUAUUACAUAUCAAAAUACAGGAUACUCCAAACGCUGCAGAUUACAUUGGGUGUGAAUUAGGAGAGGGAGUGGCUAGUGCCCGCUAUAAUACAUUAGACAUUUAUGCAUUUAGUAUAUUGAGACAUUUCAUACAUUGCACAUUUAUUCAUAUUUU